CCUACGGGUGGCUGCAGUAGGGAAUAUUGCAAAAUGGGCGAAAGCCCGAUGCAGCAACGCCGCGUGUGCGAUGAAGGCCUUCGGGUCGUAAAGCACUUUUUGAAGGGAUGAGGAAGGACAGUACCUUCAGAAUAAGUCUCGGCUAACUACGUGCCAGCAGCCGCGGUAAAACGUAGGAGGCGAGCGUUAUCCGGAUUUACUGGGCGUAAAGCGCGUGCAGGUGGUUUGGAAAGUUGGAUGUGAAAGCUCCUGGCUUAACUAGGAGAGGUCGUUCAAAACUGCCAGACUAGAGGAUGGUAGAGGGAGGUGGAAUUCCGGGUGUAGUGGUGAAAUGCGUAGAUAUCCGGAGGAACACCAGUGGCGAAAGCGGCCUCCUGGACCAAACCUGACACUCAGACGCGAAAGCUAGGGUAGCAAACGGGAUUAGAUACCCCUGUAGUC
rnacentral:rRNA from 1 species